rnacentral:rRNA from 1 species
AAAACAACUCUCGGCAACGGAUAUCUCGGCUCUUGCAUCGAUGAAGAACGUAGCGAAAUGUGAUACUUGGUGUGAAUUGCAGAAUCCCGUGAACCAUCGAGUCUUUGAACGCAAGUUGCGCCCAAAGCCAUUUGGUUGAGGGCACGCCUGCCUGGGUGUCGUG